CCUCGGGUUCUUCCCCUGGCUUCGUCUGUCUGAGGGUCGG
rnacentral:rRNA from 1 species